GUUUCCGUAGUGUAGCGGUUAUCACGUUCGCCUAACACGCGAAAGGUCCCCGGUUCGAAGCCGGGCGUAAACA
rnacentral:tRNA from 1 species